UACAGAGGUCCCGAGCGUUGUUCGGAUUCAUUGGGCGUAAAGGGUGCGUAGGCGGUUUCCUAAGUUUGAUGUGAAAUCCCGGGGCUUAACCCUGGAAUUGCAUUGAAUACUGGGAGACUAGAGUACUGGAGAGGAAACUGGAAUUUACGGUGUAGCAGUGAAAUGCGUAGAGAUCGUAAGGAAGACCAGUGGCGAAGGCGAGUCUCUGGACAGAUUCUGACGCUGAGGCACGAAGGCCAGGGGAGCAAACGGG
rnacentral:rRNA from 1 species